rnacentral:rRNA from 1 species
GACAUAUGAUUUGGUAGCACCCGGACCACUUCCUAGCGUUGUGAGCUCCGGUUGUGCACCGGUCAUUUUUCUGAAGAGCACUUCUGCCCUUGAUUGGGUAGUUGUGUGAUUCAGAUCAUUUACUGUGAGUAAAUCAGAGUGUUCAAAGCAGGCUUUAUGCUUGUAUGGUUCAGCAUGGAAUAAUAAGAUAAGACUUCGGUUUUAUUUUGUUGGCUGUAGAACCAAAGUAAUGAUUGAAAGGGAUAGUUGGGGGUGCUAGUACUCAGUGGUCAGCGGUGAAAUGCGAGGACCCAUUGAAGACUAACUUAUGCGAAAGCAUU